GAAAUGCGAUAAUUAAUGUGAAUUGCAGAAUUCAGUGAAUCAUCGAGUCUUUGAACGCACAUUGCGCCCCCUGGUAUUCCGGGGGGCAUGCCUGUCCGAGCGUCAUUGCUGCCCUCAAGCACGUCGUGUGUGUUGGGCUUCCGUCCCUGGCAACGGGGACGGGCCCAAAAGGCAGUGGCGGCACCAUGUCUGGUCCUCGAGCGUAUGGGGCUUUGUCACCCGCUCCCGUAGGUCCAGCUGGCAGCUAGCCUCGCAACCAAUCUUUUUAACCAGGUUGACCUCGGAUCAGGUAGGGAUACCCGCUGAACUUAAGC
rnacentral:misc_RNA from 1 species